rnacentral:rRNA from 1 species
AUUGAACGCUGGCGGCAGGCCUAACACAUGAAAGUCGAACGAGUGGCGGACGGGUGAGUAAUGUCGGGGAAACUGACUGAUGGAGGGGGAUAACUACUGGAAACGGUAGCUAAUACCGCAUAACAACAGAGGCGCCAGAUGGGAUUAGCUUGUUGGGUGGGUAACGGCUCACCAAGGCGACGAUCCCUAGCUGGUCUGAGAGGAAGACCAGCCACACUGGAACUGAUACACGUUCCAGACUCCUACGGGAGGCAGCAGUGGGGAAUAUUGCACAAUGGGCGCAAGCCUGAUGCAGCCAUGCCGCGUGUAUGAAGAAGGCCUUCGGGUUGUAAAGUACUUUCAGCGGGGAGGCGUUACCCGCAGAAGAAGCACCGGCUAACUCCGUGCCAGCAGCCGCGGUAAUUC